CGGAGGGGAUCAUUACUGAGUUUACGCUCUACAACCCUUUGUGAACAUACCUAUUACUGUUGCUUCGGCGGGUAGGGUCUCCGUGACCCUCCCGGCCUCCCGCCCCCGGGCGGGUCGGCGCCCGCCGGAGGAUAAACAAACUCUGAUUUAACGACGUUUCUUCUGAGUGGUACAAGCAAAUAAUCAAAACUUUUAACAACGGAUCUCUUGGUUCUGGCAUCGAUGAAGAACGCAGCGAAAUGCGAUAAGUAAUGUGAAUUGCAGAAUUCAGUGAAUCAUCGAAUCUUUGAACGCACAUUGCGCCCGCCAGCAUUCUGGCGGGCAUGCCUGUUCGAGCGUCAUUUCAACCCUCAAGCUCUGCUUGGUGUUGGGGCCCUACAGCUGAUGUAGGCCCUCAAAGGUAGUGGCGGACCCUCCCGGAGCCUCCUUUGCGUAGUAACUUUACGUCUCGCACUGGGAUCCGGAGGGACUCUUGCCGUAAAACCCCCAAUUUUCCAAAGGUUGACCUCGGAUCAGGUAGGAAUGCCCCGCUGGACUUAAGCAUAUCAAUA
rnacentral:rRNA from 1 species